GAAAAGAGUCUGUGAUGCACCUUUGGAUGAGCACCAGAUGAAGAGAAAAGAUCAGCUGCAAGAGAUCCUUCAGUCAACAAAAGGGCUUUACAGAUGAGCAAUUCAAGACUGCACAAUCAAAUGUGACUAAGCUACACGUCUCAGGCCACAC